UACAGAGGGGGCAAGCGUUGUUCGGAAUUACUGGGCGUAAAGGGCGCGUAGGCGGCCUGUUAAGUCGAACGUGAAAUCCCCGGGCUCAACCCGGGAACUGCGUCCGAUACUGGCAGGCUUGAAUUCGGGAGAGGGAUGCGGAAUUCCAGGUGUAGCGGUGAAAUGCGUAGAUAUCUGGAGGAACACCGGUGGCGAAGGCGGCAUCCUGGACCGAGAUUGACGCUGAGGCGCGAAAGCUAGGGGAGCAAACAGG
rnacentral:rRNA from 1 species